GACGAACGCUGGCGGCGUGCUUAACACAUGCAAGUCGUACGGUAAGGCCCUUUCGGGGGUACACGAGUGGCGAACGGGUGAGUAACACGUGAGUAACCUGCCCACAACUUUGGGAUAACGCUAGGAAACUGGUGCUAAUACUGGAUAUGUGCUCCUGCUGCAUGGUGGGGGUUGGAAAGCUCCGGCGGUUGUGGAUGGACUCGCGGCCUAUCAGCUUGUUGGUGGGGUAGUGGCCUACCAAGGCGGCGACGGGUAGCCGGCCUGAGAGGGUGACCGGCCACAUUGGGACUGAGAUACGGCCCAGACUCCUACGGGAGGCAGCAGUGGGGAAUAUUGCACAAUGGGCGCAAGCCUGAUGCAGCACCGCCGCGUGCGGGAUGACGGCCUUCGGGUUGGAAACCGCUUUCAGCAGGGACGAAGCUUUUUGUGACGGUACCUGCAGAAGAAGCACCGGCUAACUACGUG
rnacentral:rRNA from 1 species